ACGCUCGACACCUACUGGAGGCAGCAGUCGGGAAUAUUGCGCAAUGGAGGAAACUCUGACGCAGUGACGCCGCGUAUAGGAAGAAGGUUUUCGGAUUGUAAACUAUUGUCGUUAGGGAAGAAAAAGGACAGUACCUAAGGAGGAAGCUCCGGCUAACUACGUGCCAGUAGCCGCCGGUAAUCUGAGGCGGGCGUGGCGAAGGCG
rnacentral:rRNA from 1 species